UGGGAGGGGACUGUAGGAAACGUGACUACUAACAGAUGUCGGCCGUUGGGGUUAUUUCAGAGCCUGGCUAUCAGAGAUGCUGUCAGGGGCUUGUUGGAGCAGCCAGGCAUGAGUGGGAACGGACUACCUGACUUCCCUGGAAUUUUGUUCAGCACUGUGUCUCUGCCAGCCUAACUUCCCUUUGGUGUUAUUUAAAGACUUCUCUUCUACAGCAGACUUCCCCUUAUUUUACAGGGCCUCUAGCAGGAGUGGUGGCCACCAUGCUCUGAAUCUUGGCUUCUUUAUGCUUACCCUGUUGUGUGACCCCCACCUUGCAGUGAGCCCCAAAGAUGGAUGCCUGGAUUUAUUCCUGGGUGGGUGUACUCAGGAACCUCCCUCAUUAUCCAGGACAGUAGUUAAACAUACUCCAACUUCAUAAUAACAGCUAAUCUUACCAGAUAUUUAUUUACCAGACACUAUGAAGUCUUUCAGAUGAAGAAUUUAAGGCCCAGUGAGGUUAAGUAACCUGGUGAAGGUAAUAAUUAAUGGGUGGUAAAGCUAAGAUUUGAACCCUCUAAACCUGGUUCUAAAUCCAUGCUCUCAGUUCCUAAUUCUAUAUUUUCAGCACAGAGCCCAACGUUAGUAAAUAUUCAGUAAAUGUUUGUUAUUAUUAAGUUUUCUCAUUGGAGACAAACGUAACUUUCUACAUUCAAGAAGCUAAAGAAUUGGUAUAUUCAUUUAAAAAGUUCGUUCUCAUCACAAAGAUCUUUUGGAAUUAUCUACUGAGAAUCAGCCAACAAAUGUAUGCCAACAUGAAGGGAGCCUGGAGUCACUUGUUAACUGCCUACCGCUACUGUGUUCAACCAAGCCUAGAAGAACCAUAACAUGUGCAAAUGCCCUGAGAUGCUGCCUCUUCAGAUACCCAAAUAGGUUGCAAAACCUUUCCUGGAAGAUUGGAUGUUAGAAACCUUCCUUGACUUCUAUCUGCGGGCUAAGAAAACUUAUAGAUUGGGCAGAAUCUUGCACUGGGUAUGCAAAUAGAUAGUGGACAUGGCUCUGUCCUGCAUUAAUUGUCCCACCUCUUCCUUUACUUCAAGGUACUAUGCUCUCUUGGCUUUAUCUUGCCUCACUGGCCGCUCCUUCUCUGUCCCUUUCUGUCUCUCAUUUUUCUAUAUGACCUCUAAACAUUGGAGUGCCUCUGUGCUCAGGCAUGGUCCCUCAUCUCUAGAGCUAAUUCUCUUGCUGGAGAGCUCAUUCAAUUCUGUGACUUUAAAUAGCAUCUCUGUGCUGAUUACUCCAAAAAUACACUUCUAGCCCUAACCUUUCCUAGAACACCAGAUUCAUAAAUCCAAUAUCUCCAUUUGAAUGUCCAAGAGGCAUCUCAAAUGUAUGGGUCCAAAACGGAGCACUAGAUUUCCCAACCUAAACCUGUUCUUCUAGUCUUCAUCUUAGUGCCAAAAUUAACUAUGUAGUUGUGCAAGCCACAAACACAGAAAUUAUCCCUGACUUUCUUUCUCUUUUUAAAUACAUAUAUUAUCAGCAAAUGCUACUAUAGCUGUGCCUCCAAAACGUAGUUGGACUCCUUUCUUAUCUCUCCACUGGCACAAACACAGAGUCGAAGUCACUGUCAUCUCUUACCAGGGCUACUACAAGGGCCUCUUAAUUGAUCUUCUCCUUUCUUUGCAUGACUGUCUCCUUCAGCCCCCUAGGUCUCAGACAACAGGUCAAAGCUCAAAGAGGACUUCCCAAACUACCCUGUUGGGAGUACCUCCCUUUCCCCCAGCUUGUUCUCUGUCAAAUCACCGUUUUGACUUUCUUCAUGGAAUUUACCACAAUAUGUGAUUGUCUAUUUCCUUCCUAUUGACUGUGUUCCCUGCUGGAAUCUAAGCUCCAAUGGAGCAGGGAGUUCAACUCUUUUCUUCUCCAUUCAAUUCCCAGGGUUCACCGCAGUGUUUGACCCACAGUAGGACCUUGACAAAUAUUUGCUGGAAAUAAUGAAUUCAAGUCUUUCCAAAAGGGAAAAAAAAUCUCUUUGGGAUUCCAAAAAUUUAGGAUCCACCAAUAUUUGCUAUUGUUCAGAAAUGAUUUAUUCAGGUUAGCCACACAUACAUACAUACAAACAUGAGGAAAGUUCAUUUAAAGGCAUUAACUCGAGACUAUUUUAAGACCCAGUUCAGACAUAACUCUGUAAAGACUAUUCCUUGGUUGUCCCGACUUGAAAAUGACAAUGGUGACUACCUGGUUCCAGCACCAAUCAUUGGCAAUAACUAAAGGUGUUCUGCUGCACAAGAUUUUACAAAAGAUUAAGUUAGGAAGAAACAAUCACAUGGCUUAAAAUGAACAAUAUUGAAUUUUUAGUUAUCUGACACAUAAACAUACAUACCUUAUAAACAGAAAUUAGUCAAGAAAUGAGGAAAUAUUAUUUUAUAAACUGGCACAAGAGUUCUCUUUAGGUAAAGAUUGUCUUUGUUUAGAAUAAUAUCUUGAGAAACGCCUAAGAAGUGAAAGUAGAGGCUCUGUGUGUGUUGGAAAGAAACAACAAAAGAUCACAAAAUCAUUAUGCAUAAGAAAUUGGGGAAGAAAAGAGAAGUAAAUGACGAGGAAGAGUGGAGGUGAAGGUUGAAGAAAAUGUCAGGAGGCUUAACUUUGGGUUAGUAGGAAUAGAGCAAGAAAAUCAAGUUUUCAGUUUUAACUUAGCUGCUGAAGAGUGCUGCAUAUUUGCCAUUUAGCUCCCUAUCUGGCAGACAUUAUCUUUGAAUCUCCAGGAAGGGUCUAUUACACACAGCUGCCCCUUAUGAAUUUGGGGUGGGAAAUCUAGGAGGAAGGGCUGGACCCACCCUGGAGUUGGUGCCAAAUGAAAAUAAAGAAACAGCUGCAAGAUAGAGAAUUAAAAAUGGGAAUUCAGCAGAAGCCAGAAAGCAAACCCUGAGGUUAUCAAGAGAAUGGGGAGCCCAGAAAAACUGCAGGGAGUUUGCGGAUAGCACUGGUUUUCCCAUAAGACAUGGGAUGGGGUUUCCAGAUGAAUUUAUAUAAACCUCAAGGUGAUAUCUGGAUUUGCAGAUAAUCCAGGAGCCACUAACAAUGUGAUCCCACUGGUAAAUAGUAAUCACUCCUCCCCAUAGCGUUAGUGAAAACCCUAGUUAGGGAUGAUUGACAGUGUGUGUUCCAAUUGUAUUCUCUCCUUUCAUUCUAUCCUACUUCAUUUGUUUCUAUGUUCCUCUGUGGUUCCAUACUCCAAUCUAGACCAUAUUAGCUAGACUCAUAGGUCACUAGUUUUUUGGUUUUUGUUUUGUUUUUUUUACUGUUCUUAGAGUUGGUUAGCCAGAGCAAAAAAAAUUAAUUUAUAAAGUCUACCUGGUGGGAAAGGUCUAGUGAAAACUAAAUUUUAAGCAAUAAUAAUCAGAAAGACCAAAAGUUUCUGCAAAGAGCUUAUUCAAUUCAACUACAUCAUUUAUUCAUUGAAUUCCACAAAUAUUUGUAGGUUCUCAAACUUUGAAUACGAAUGAAUAAAGCUCAAUGGCUUCUUU